rnacentral:misc_RNA from 1 species
CAAAAUGUCAAAUUGGUAACAUAACAUUACUCUUUUCUAUGAUGAAGAUAAAACAUGGUACGAAUCAUCUAGAAUUUGACCCAGAGAGCGAACCGAUAAGACUUUCACCCACUUCGCUCUUGCAAAGAGGACAAGAAGCAUUGAUCUUCAGCCACUUAUCCACGCACUCCUUGUGGAAAAAAUGUGAACAGGGCAGCUCCCUCAACUCAUCAUUGUUUGCAUAUUUUGCCAAACAAAUGCAACAAACCGCAUCUUCUCCAGAGAUCAUUCGCUCCUGUUCUGUUCCAGCAGCCACUAUUCCACCGUCACCAGCACCACAAAAGUUGCUAUCAUCACUGUUCCUGUUUUUACUUUCCUUAAACUUGUAUGUCGGUAACGCAUCAAUUGAUUCUGCUGUGGCUCCUCUGGUCUGCCCCAAAUCCUCUCUAAACCCAAGAAGAGAAAUUAUACAAGGCAAGCAACAGCAGAUCGUCGCACACAGAAUGAAGGGCAUUGCAUAUCCAAUACAGCUAAAGGUAAGAAACACUAUACAUAACCUGUACAUGUUUGGAGCCUCACUAGCAGACGAAUGACCUCCAAAGAUCCAUACAUUGCCAACCACAAACCAAACUGCGAAAAAACAAUCAAGAGCCAUUUUGAAGUAUUCAACCAGAGUCUUCAGUCUUGCAUUUAUUGCUCCAGAAUUUUGACCACCUCUAGGUGAUGCAGCAGUUCGGCGAUCAUCAGCUUCUGAGCUCCUGCUGACUGAAACAGAAUAAGGUCCUGCAGGAACACUAAUAUGAGUAGAACCCUGACGAGGUUGAGCUGACUCUUGCUCCAAAACCUGGUUACGAUGACGAUAACGCCAAUAAAGAAGAGGAAGAGUUGCGAGACAUCCUGAUGCAUAACCAACAAUCCAUGCAAACAAUGGUGCCCGUGGAUGCUCAUUCCUUGACACGGACAAAACAACAAUAGAUGCAACAAUCUGGCUAAUUGUAAGAACCAAUUCAAUAGAAAUCCAUAAACCAGAGUUCAGCGGACUCCUACGCCGACGGGAUUCACCUCUCCUUACGAAUGAUGAGUUCCGAGUGUUUGAUCCAUUACCAUUAGAGGAGAAAGUUGAAAGUUGAGAAACGGGUGUUCUUGCACUGGUUGAAGGUCUGUCUUCAUGUGAUGAGGCUUCCAAAUCAUUGGCAGUUCUAUCAUGAGAUGUUGAUGG